AGCGAACGUUAGCGGCGGGCCUAACACAUGCAAGUCGAACGCGAAAGGUCUUCGGACUGAGUAGAGUGGCGCACGGGUGAGUAACACGUAGGUAAUCUACCCUUUGGCGGGGGAUAACGUUCCGAAAGGAGCGCUAAUACCGCAUAAGACCACGGAGUCUCCGGACGCUGUGGAAAAAGGUGGCCUCUUCUUGAAAGCUACCACCGAAGGAUGAGCCUGCGUCCCAUCAGCUAGUUGGUAAGGUAAUGGCUUACCAAGGCGAAGACGGGUAGCUGGUUUGAGAGAAUGAUCAGCCACACUGGCACUGGAACACGGGCCAGACUCCUACGGGAGGCAGCAGUGAGGAAUAUUGGGCAAUGGGCGAAAGCCUGACCCAGCCACGCCGCGUGAGUGAUGAAGGCCCUCGGGUCGUAAAGCUCUGUGGAGAGGGACGAAAACCCUGGUUUCAAAUAGGCUCCAGGCUUGACGGUACCUCUUUAGCAAGCACCGGCUAACUCUGUGCCAGCAGCCG
rnacentral:rRNA from 1 species